GGGGUUAAAGAACCUUCGGUGCCGCAGCCAACGCAGUAAGCGAUCCACCUGGGGAGUACGUUCGCAAGAAUGAAACUCAAAGGAAUUGACGGGGACCCGCACAAGCGCUGGAGCAUGUGGUUUAAUUCGAAGCAACGCGAAGAACCUUACCAGGCCUUGACAUCCCCCUGAAUGGGUGGCAAUGCAUCCAGCCUUUCGAGGCAGGGGAGACAGGUGGUGCAUGGUUGUCGUCAGCUCGUGUCGUGAGAUGUUGGGUCAAGUCCCGCAACGAGCGCAACCCCUGCCCCCAGUAGCCAGCAUUUAAGAUGGGCACUCUGGGGGGACUGCCGGGGAUAACCCGGAGGAAGGCGGGGAUGACGUCAAAUCAUCAUGCCCCUUAUGGCCGGGGCUACACACGUGCUACAAUGGCGUAAACAGAGGGAGGCGAGACAGCGAUGUUAAGCGAACCCCAAAAAUAACGUCCCAGUUCGGAUUGCAGCCUGCAACUCGGCUGCAUGAAGCUGGAAUCGCUAGUAAUCGCGGAUCAGAAUGCCGCGGUGAAUACGUUCCCGGGUCUUGCACACACCGCCCGUCA
rnacentral:rRNA from 1 species